GAGGCUUUCUUUGGCCUAGAUGUCUUAACAGAGCUGGACCUGUCCAACAACCUGCUGACAAGUCUUCCUACACAGCUACUGAAAGGGUUAAACAAUCUACAGGUGCUGAACCUACAGGAAAAUCCCUGGAAUUGUUCCUGUCCACUGUCUGAUCAGCAUUAGAGAGGUCACAGCCGCAAACAUUAGCAUUGGGGGACCACGGGCUAGCUGUGCUUCUCCAGAGAAACAGGCUGGAAAUGAUCUUUUAGAGGCAACAGCUUUGUGCUAUCCAUCACCAUCACCCACCCUCACUACAGACCCACAGAAACCACCAACAUCGGUCAACUCU